GUGCCAGCAGCCGCGGUAAUACGUAGGUUGCGAGCGUUAUUCGGAAUUACUGGGCGUAAAGCGUGCGUAGGCGGCUUUGCAAGUCAGAUGUAAAUCCCAGGGCUCAACCUGGGAAGCUGUCCUUUGGUGACUGCAAGGCUAGAGUAUAGCAGAAGGGGGAUGGAAUUCCGACGUGUAGCAGUGAAAUGCGUAGAUAUGACGGAGGAACACCGAUGGCGAAGGCAAUCCUCUGGGUCCUGUACUGACGCUCAUGCACGAAAGCGUGGGGAUCAAACAGGAUUAGAU
rnacentral:rRNA from 1 species